rnacentral:lncRNA from 1 species
UAGCACCGGCCUUGACAGUGGACUAUUACAAGGAUUUCUGUGGGCCCGCUCUGAGCCGCCGUUUCUGGCCGUGCAGACGGACUUCUACCACACGGUGGCGCUGCGGCUCUGCCAUAGAAGGCUCCUCUCGGUCCAGGAGACAGGCAGGGCCGGCCACAGGACCAGCCUCCGACAGCGAUUUCAUCCGCACCCUGCGGGGCAACGUGGGGGCCUAUCCGUAGCUUUCAGCGUUUCCUGGACCCUACCAGGACAAGAAUCGCGGGGAGAGGUGCGAAGAAGGUCUGGAGAGGAGGAGGCUUGGGACAAUGCAGAGUCCUGGAAGUGAGGCUGACCGCUGACCGCUGUCAGGAGGGACAUGGACCGCUGCCGGGGAAUCAUGGGAUUUCCCACCGGCCCAGUCAUCUCCCACGUCGGGAAAAGGGAAGAGCUGCUUCCCCAUGGCGUGUGCGCGUGGGAAGGGUCUCGGGCAGAGAAGAGGCACUUUUUCUGUCCUCCAGGCUGUUUCCGCCAAAUGAAGACCUGGGCUGGAAGAGCCAGGAACAAAGAGGAGAGUCGAGUGCUGAGCACCCAGCGGGAGAGGAUGCAGCCCGGUCAUCUCACACCUGCUGACCACACAACAUCGUCUGCGAGUUCCCCCCACCUACUUCGCCUGCAGCUGCCAUUUGGGAAGAUGACUCUUGCCUCUUUCACCGUCUGUUUUUUAGAUUAGGACUCACGGGCCUAGGGCAGGAGUCAGCUCUUCCAGAUCUUUAUCGAAAAGUAACAUCACACUUGUGCCCAGGGGUUCGAGACCAGCCUGGGCAACAGGACAAACCCCCUUCUCUACAAAAAAACCCACAAAAUCUGUGUGGAAGGUGUGUGAACCCUUGGGAAACAGAGUUGCUGUACACGUGUAUCAGGCCCUGAGCCAGCUGCAGGGUGGGCAUUACUGCUUGGUGCCCUCCGCCCUCACUCUUCCUCCCUGGAUGUUGAGGAUGGCCCCGUAAACCUUGUUCAUAGGGGUCCCUCGUUUUCUGAGACACCUCAUCUGAGCACUGACGAGGGGACACAACUCUUGGCUGGGAAGCAGGAGACUGAGCAUUGCCUUCAAGCCAUCCCCACACAUGUGACCUCAGUCAGCAUUCUGCCCUUUCAUGGGUGUCAGUUGUCUCGUCCAUAAAAUGGGAUGAUGUUCUUGUUCCAGCCGGCAUACUGGAUGACUAAAUGAGGGAACAGGUGCAGAAACCACGGCCCAGGGAAGACGCAGCUUGAGCAAGGUCACCGGCAGGUUCCUUUGCAGUAAAAUGGGAAUAAAAAGAAAAUCUACGUAACAGUAGAUAUUCUGUGAGGAUUACGUGAAUUCAUAUUUGAAGAGUGAGUAGAAGGGUUCCUGGCACAAGCUCUACAAGUGUGGCUGGAAUGAAUAUGAUGAUGAGGAUGAAGAUGAGGAUGGCGGGGCUGGAGCUCAAGUGCCAUACUGUGUCCUGGAGCAGAAGCCACGUGUUGAGGACAGUCUGGACCCUUAACGAGGGUUGAGCCACGACACCAGCCUGUGACUGUUUACCUCUUGAGUUUGUUUACAGGAGAAGAAAAUAAACUCUCACCUUGUUUAACACACCA